rnacentral:rRNA from 1 species
AGUACAAACUAUAUCUUAUAGUGAAACCGCAAAAGGCUCAGUACAACAGCUAUUAUUUAUUUGAUUAUAAAAACAGUUACUUGGAUAACUGUGGUAAUUCCAGAGCUAAUACAUGCAAACAACAUGUCACACGGUGCUUGCAUUGUGAGACAUGUGCUUUUAUUAGAUUAAAACCAUAUCGACUUUCGGGUUGAUUACCUUUAGAUGAAUCUGGAUAAUUUUGGCUGAUCGUAUGGUCUCGUACCGACGACAUAUCAUUCAAAUGUCUGCCCUAUCAACUAUUGAUGGUAGUAUAGAGGACUACCAUGGUUGCAACGGGUAACGGGGAAUCAGGGUUCGAUUCCGGAGAGGGAGCCUGAGAAACGGCUACCACAUCUAAGGAAGGCAGCAGGCGCGUAAAUUACCCAAUCCCGGCACGGGGAGGUAGUGACGAAAAAUAACAAUACAGGACUCACAUCCGAGGCCCUGUAAUUGGAAUGAGUACACUUUAAAUCCUUUAACGAGUAACAAUUGGAGGGCAAGUCUGGUGCCAGCAGCCGCGGUAAUUCCAGCUCCAAUAGCGUAUAUUAAAGUUGUUGCAGUUAAAAAGCUCGUAGUUGAAUUUUGGGCCGGGCCGGGCGGUCGCUCGCAAGGGUUGUACUGCCUGCGCCUGGCCUUUCCUUCUAGGGAUCUGUGGUGCUCUUAGCUGAGUGCUGCAGGGAACUAGGACUUUUACUUUGAAAAAAUUAGAGUGUUUAAAGCAGGCCUUUGCUUGAAUACUUCAGCAUGGAAUAAUAGAAUAGGACUUUGGUUCUAUUUUGUUGGUUUCUAGGACCGAAGUAAUGAUUAAUAGGGAUAGUUGGGGGCAUUAGUAUUUAAUUGUCAGAGGUGAAAUUCUUGGAUUUAUGAAAGACUAACUUCUGCGAAAGCAUUUGCCAAGGAUGUUUUCAUUAAUCAAGAACGAAAGUUAGGGGAUCGAAGACGAUUAGAUACCGUCGUAGUCUUAACCAUAAACUAUGCCGACUCGGGAUCGGACGAUGUUAUCAUGACUCGUUCGGCACCGUAUGAGAAAUCAAAGUUUUUGGGUUCUGGGGGGAGUAUGGUCGCAAGGCUGAAACUUAAAGGAAUUGACGGAAGGGCACCACCAGGAGUGGAGCCUGCGGCUUAACUUGACUCAACACGGGGAAACUCACCAGGUCCAGACAUGAUAAGGAUUGACAGAUUGAGAGCUCUUUCUUGAUUUUAUGGGUGGUGGUGCAUGGCCGUUCUUAGUUGGUGGAGUGAUUUGUCUGGUUUAUUCCGAUAACGAACGAGACCUUAACCUGCUAAAUAGUCACCCGAACCUUGUGUUUGGGGCCGACUUCUUAGAGGGACUGUGGACGUGAAGUCCACGGAAGUUUGAGGCAAUAACAGGUCUGUGAUGCCCUUUAGAUGUUCUGGGCCGCACGCGCGCUACACUGACAAACUCAGCGAGUUUAUAACCUUGGCCGGAAGGUCCGGGUAAUCUUGUGAAAGUUUGUCGUGAUGGGGAUAGUCCCUUGCAAUUAUUGGACUUCAACGAGGAAUUCCUAGUAAGUGCGAGUCAUCAGCUCGCGUUGAUUACGUCCCUGCCCUUUGUACACACCGCCCGUCGCUACUACCGAUUGAAUGGCUUAGUGAGGCCUCCGGAUUGAGCUCAGGAGCCAAGCAAUAGGCAUCUGAAUUCGAGAAGCUGGUCAAA